rnacentral:rRNA from 1 species
CCUACGGGCGGCAGCAGUGAGGAAUAUUGGUCAAUGGACGAGAGUCUGAACCAGCCAAGUAGCGUGAAGGAUGACUGCCCUAUGGGUUGUAAACUUCUUUUAUAUGGGAAUAAAACGUUCCACGUGUGGGAUUUUGUAUGUACCAUAUGAAUAAGGAUCGGCUAACUCCGUGCCAGCAGCCGCGGUAAUACGGAGGAUCCGAGCGUUAUCCGGAUUUAUUGGGUUUAAAGGGAGCGUAGGUGGAUUGUUAAGUCAGUUGUGAAAGUUUGCGGCUCAACCGUAAAAUUGCAGUUGAAACUGGCAGUCUUGAGUACAGUAGAGGUGGGCGGAAUUCGUGGUGUAGCGGUGAAAUGCUUAGAUAUCACGAAGAACUCCGAUUGCGAAAGCAGUUCACUGGACUGCAACUGACACUGAGGCUCGAAAGUGUGGGUAUCAAACAGGAUUAGAUACCCCUGUAGUC